UGGGGAAUCUUGGACAAUGGGGGCAACCCUGAUCCAGCCAUGCCGCGUGAGUGAUGAAGGCCUUAGGGUCGUAAAGCUCUUUCGCCUGUGAAGAUAAUGACGGUAGCAGGUAAAGAAACCCCGGCUAACUCCGUGCCAGCAGCCGCGGUAAUACGGAGGGGGUUAGCGUUGUUCGGAAUUACUGGGCGUAAAGCGCACGUAGGCGGACCAGAAAGUUGGGGGUGAAAUCCCGGGGGCUCAACCCCGGAACUGCCUCCAAAACUAUUGGUCUAGAGUUCGAGAGAGGUGAGUGGAAUUCCAAGUGUAGAGGUGAAAUUCGUAGAUAUUUGGAGGAACACCAGUGGCGAAGGCGGCUCACUGGCUCGAUACUGACGCUGAGGUGCGAAAGUGUGGGGAGCAAACAGGAUUAGAUACCCCUGGUAGUCCACACCGUAAAACGAUGAAUGCCAGUCGUCGGGGUAGCAUGCUAUUCGGUGACACACCUAACGGAUUAAGCAUUCCGGCCUGGGGAGUACGGUCGCAAGAUUAAAA
rnacentral:rRNA from 1 species